AAAAUGGGUUAUAUACAAGACCAGGCCCAAAAGUGGCUUGGCCUAAAAAAUAAAAAACAAUACAACACUUAAACAUUAGCAUCAAAUUAGGAAAGUGACUGGAAGUCAUCUUCCUCGGUGCUUUGCUCAAACAUUGUUGGUGGCUUGUCAAUUUGCUCUCAUGGUUGCACUACAUUUCCUCAUGUAGCAUCUUGCUACUCCACCAUUAAUGAAGCUUAUCAACUCAACUCGGCUGUUGAUAGAUCGAUUCACAGGUGAAUCCGCUCAUUGGUACUGCUUACAAAGAUUGAUUUAGCUGCUGUGAUUCUUAUCAUAUGUGUUAUGGUCUCAGGAUUUACCUUACUUUGGGAACCAAAUGUUCUCAACACCCAUUCCUUAGAAGUUUCACCUUGUAGUUGAUUGACAGAAUCACCACUUUGUACUUCAUCCUUGUUGUUGUUGGGACUAUUAUCUGCUUAAGAUGUCGCCUUUUCUGUUAGUGACUCAAAACUGUUCUUUAGCGGAAGUGUGGUGUGGGUGAUUGGAGGCUUGUGUCUACCAUCUUUUAUUAUCUUCCACUUGCCUGGGUCACCUACUACUAUACCACUUGAGAGCACUCUAGCUUUUCCUUUCUGAUUCAUGUGGUUAUAUGGAAUAGUAGGUUGUUGGGGUUGUUGAUUUUUCUCUCUUUUCUGCUCUAUCUCUUUAACACCCAUGACUUCCUUGUUGAUGUUUUUUUUGCAUUCAUCCUUGUUGUGACCUUGCAUUUUGCAUUCAUUGCAAUACUUGGGGAUGUAAUCAUAUUAAUUAUCACCACUUCUUUUCU